UAAUACGAACUGUGCAAACGUUAUUCGGAAUCACUGGGCUUAAAGGGUGCGUAGGCGGGUUGGUAGGUCAGAUGUGAAAGCCCACGGCUCAACCGUGGAAUUGCGUUUGAAACCACUAGUCUUGAGGGGAUCAGAGGAGAGCGGAACUGAUGGUGGAGCGGUGAAAUGCGUUGAUAUCAUCAGGAACACCGGUGGCGAAAGCGGCUCUCUGGGAUCUUUCUGACGCUGAGGCACGAAAGCUAGGGGAGCGAACGGGAUUAGAUACCCCGGUAGUCCUAGCUGUAAACGAUCUGUACUAGUCCGUGGGGACCCCCACAUCUUCUCGGACGUAGCGAAAGUGUUAAGUACAGCGCCUGGGGAGUAUGGUCGCAAGGCUG
rnacentral:rRNA from 1 species